CAGCUGUUUCUCAGAAGCAGUUGGGAAAAAGCAAGUGCUUUAAGAAGGAAGAAGCUGGCAUCGUGCCUCCUGCUACUGCUGAACACUGAGACAGAGACAACAGAAUGACUGUGAAAUUGAGUUCAGGGAGGUCAAUGGUGUCCUUGGCAAGAGUAAGUUCCGCAGAAAGGAGGACGUGGAAGCCUGAUGGGAGCCAGUGGAAAACGGGACGACGCCGGCAGAGAUGGCGAUGGAGCUCUAGUCUGAAGUUGGAGUAUGUCCACAGGUUUACAUCAUGCCCCUACGGCUCCACACCCUUUCCUUGGAAGCUAAGACGAAAUCCUCAGUGCAUGAGCAGGCCACAUCACCCAGGUAUUUUUAUGUACACUGUAGUUGUCUUCAGUGAUCUUCAGUAGCU
rnacentral:lncRNA from 1 species